rnacentral:rRNA from 1 species
CACCCUUCCUUGUCUAUUCCGCCUAUAUACCACCGUCGUCAGCUUACCCUGUGAAGGCCCCAUAGUAAGCAAGAUUGGCACUGCCCAAAACGCCAGGUCGAGGUGUAGCGUAUGGAAGGGGAAGCAAUGGGCUACAUUCACUACUGCCAGUGAAUACGAAUAGCGCACUGAAACGUGCACAUUGAAGGAGGAUUUAGCAGUAAGCAGGAAAUAGAGUGUUCCGCUGAAAUCGGCCCUGAAGCGCGCACACACCGCCCGUCACUCUCCCCAAGCUCACCUAACAACUAUGCCUAAAACACAAAAAAUGCAAAGGGGAGGCAAGUCGUAACAUGGUAAGCGUACCGGAAGGUGCGCUUGGAAAAGC